CCAUUUAAAGUGGUACGCGAGCUGGGUUCAGAACGUCGUGAGACAGUUCGGUCCCUAUCUGCCGUGGGCGUUGGAUGAUUGAAGGGAGUUGCUCCUAGUACGAGAGGACCGGAGUGAACGAACCUCUGGUGUUCGGGUUGUCACGCCAGUGGCACUGCCCGGUAGCUAAGUUCGGAAUCGAUAACCGCUGAAAGCAUCUAAGCGGGAAGCGAGCCCUGAGAUGAGUCAUCCCUGACCCCUUGAGGGUCCUAAAGGGCCGUUGGAGACCACAACGUUGAUAGGUGGGGUGUGUAAGCGCAGUGAUGUGUUGAGCUAACCCAUACUAAUUACCCGUGAGGCUUAACCAUACAACACCCAAGAAGUGUUCUG
rnacentral:rRNA from 1 species